rnacentral:rRNA from 1 species
UACGUAGGGUGCGAGCGUUAAUCGGAAUUACUGGGCGUAAAGCGUGCGCAGGCGGCUUUGCAAGACAGAUGUGAAAUCCCGGGCUCAACCUGGGAACUGCAUUUGUGACUGCAAGGCUAGAGUACGGCAGAGGGGGAUGGAAUUCCGCGUGUAGCAGUGAAAUGCGUAGAUAUGCGGAGGAACACCAAUGGCGAAGGCAAUCCCCUGGGCCUGUACUGACGCUCAUGCACGAAAGCGUGGGGAGCAAACAGG